rnacentral:rRNA from 1 species
UACGUAGGCAGCGAGCGUUGUUCGGAUUUACUGGGCGUAAAGAGUGCGUAGGCGGUUUUCUAAGUCUGGUGUGAAAUCUCCCGGCUUAACUGGGAGGGUGCGCCGGAGACUGGAAGGCUUGAGUAUGGGAGAGGUAAGCGGAAUUCCUGGUGUAGCGGUGAAAUGCGUAGAUAUCAGGAGGAACACCUGCGGUGUAGACGGCUUACUGGACCAUCACUGACGCUGAGGCACGAAAGCGUGGGUAGCAAACAGG